rnacentral:rRNA from 1 species
GACGAACGCUGGCGGCGUGCCUAAUACAUGCAAGUCGAACGCAGUGGGGACGGGUGAGUCACACGUGGGUAACCUCCCAUCAGAGGGGAUAACCCUUGGAAAAAGGUGCUAAACCGAUACUGAUGGCAGGACCCCCCGUGCAUUAGCUAGUUGGUGAGGUAACGGCUCAACAAGGCCACGAUUCAUAGCCGACCUGAGAGGGUGAGCGGCCACACUGGAACUGAGCUACGGCCCAGACGCCGAAGUGAGGCAGCAGUAGGGAAUCUUCGGCAAUGGACGAAAGUCUGACCUAGCAACGCCGCGUGAGUGAAGAAGGUUUUCGGAUCGUAAAACUCUUUUGUUAGAGAAGCGGUAUCUAACCAGAAAGCCACGGCUAACUACGUGCCAGCCGCCGCGGUAAUUC